rnacentral:lncRNA from 10 species
AAACAGAUCGCGCGGAGUGAACCUGGUAUGGCGGCGCGUGGAUUUCCCUCUGUCUAUUAUUAAGAUUAAACUUGGGCUUCGCAGUCCUCUCACCUCCAUACCCCGGAUUUGGAGGUUCGUACACGCCUGAAAAUUCUCAUACCGCUCCCCUCACUGCUAGAGAUGGACAAACCAUGUGGGUGCCCUCCAGGUGUGUGCGACCAUGAAAUGGGAGACUAGCAGGACCCACGUUGGCCAACCGUGGACCUGGUCCCUCCAGUAGGAGUCGUGAGCCAGCUGAAUUUGAAUGCAAAGAUGGAGCAAGGGCCGACUGGAGUCACACUGACAUCCACCCCCAUAACAUGGGGACAGAUCAAGAAAACAAAGCAGGAAGCUGAGAAAAUGCUGGAGCAUCCAUGUGCUUGGCCAUGUUAGCAGUAGUGUCCUGUGAGGAUUGAUUUCCAAAAACUCCUGUUACAUGAGGAAGACACCAAGAAGAGCAAAGAAAAGGAGCCAGGGUGGCUCUUCCUCAGUCAAAUUAAAAGGAGAAGACCUCACUAAAGCCAGAAAAGCCCUACAGACCAGAC